GAUCAUGGCUCAGGACGAACGCUGGCGGCGCGCCUAACACAUGCAAGUCGAACGGAGCUGAGAGGAGCUUGCUUUUCUUAGCUUAGUGGCGAACGGGUGAGUAACGCGUGAGUAACCUGCCCUGGAGUGGGGGACAACAGUUGGAAACGACUGCUAAUACCGCAUAAGCCCACGGCCCGGCAUCGGGCUGAGGGAAAAGGAUUUAUUCUCCUCAGGAUGGACUCGCGUCCAAUUAGCUAGUUGG
rnacentral:rRNA from 1 species